CCAUAUUUCCUACCUCGAACCAAAGAGCCUAACAAUUGAAAGCCACAAAGCCCCAAUGAUCCCAAUAGCUUAAUGUUUGAUAUUAGUAGAGUAGAAUAAUUUGGUGAGUAUUUGGAGUCAAGCAUAUGCAUGUAAGUAUAAAUUCUUUCUAUCUUUAAUUUGCAAAUAUUGGAUGCUUGAAGCAAUUGUAUGAAUUGUGGUUUUUGGUAAUGGUGAGUGACUAAGUGUUGUUGAAUUUUGAGCUUGCGAAUGCC
rnacentral:lncRNA from 1 species